rnacentral:rRNA from 1 species
UACGGGGGGAGCAAGCGUUGUUCGGAUUUACUGGGCGUAAAGGGCGCGUAGGCGGCGCAACAAGUCACUUGUGAAAUCUCCGGGCUUAACUCGGAACGGCCAAGUGAAACUGUCAAGCUAGAGUGCAGAAGGGGCAAUCGGAAUUCUUGGUGUAGCGGUGAAAUGCGUAGAUAUCAAGAGGAACACCUGAGGUGAAGACGGGUUGCUGGGCUGACACUGACGCUGAGGCGCGAAAGCCAGGGGAGCAAACGGG